GUGCCAGCCGCCGCGGUAAUACCGGCAGCCCGAGUGAUGGCCGAUCUUAUUGGGCCUAAAGCGUCCGUAGCUGGCCGAACAAGUCCGUCGGGAAAUCCACGUGCUUAACGCGUGGGCGACCGGCGGAAACUGUCCGGCUUGGGGCCGGAGGACCCGAGGGGUACGUCCGGGGUAGGAGUGAAAUCCCGUAAUCCUGGACGGACCGCCGGUGGCGAAAGCACUUCGAGAAAACGGAUCCGACAGUGAGGGACGAAAGCUAAGAUCGCGAACUGGAUUAGAAACCCGGGUAGUCC
rnacentral:rRNA from 1 species